UCCGUUGUAGUAUAAUGGUUAGAACACCUGGCUUUCACCCAGGAAAUCCGGGUUCAAUCCCCGGCAGCGGAG
rfam:Perkinsela sp. CCAP 1560/4 XT18scaffold_144, whole genome shotgun sequence.